AUGUUUCCUUUUCAGUUUAUGAGUUUGGUUAUUUAUUAUUUUUCCUACUUUGAAUUUUUGUAACUUUGGUUAUGGUAGGAUCAUUCACCAAUUAAGAGCUUCAGCCAGUCCUCCAAAUAUGCUAACGCUAAUGGUACUAUCAAAUUAUUGCAUGCAUAACGUGAACGAUGUAGACAUGAUCCGUAUCUCUUUGGACGAGCAUAUUUGGAAGAGACAAAUUUAUUUAUUUAGGCCAUGAUGAUUUGCUCCAAUAUUGCAAUAUGGUUGAAAUAAGCUACAUGUGUAUUUUGACAUACAUUGCGUAUCUUUGGGAAGAAUGUGGUCGUGAUAUUACGAAUAAGUUUUUUUUAUAUCAAGCAAAAAUAUCGCCACAUGUGAAGUCUCAAGAUAUCCUCUAGAAAUUUAGCCAAUCAACUAGAAUUGGCUAAUUUAGACCAAAUAGUCCUCAUUCCAUAUAACACAGAUUAUCAUUGGAUAUUGAUUUUAAUCAAUCUACAAAAAAAUUGUGUGUAUGUUUUGGAUUCUCUUCGAAGCAAGGUUCAAGAGGAUUUUCAUGGAGUUAUAAAUAUUGGAUUGAAAACAUGGCAAACCAAACACGAUCUCCAACACUAUCGGUCUUCUCCAAAAUGGAAACCUGUAAAGUGCCUUCAUCAAUUAGAUUAUGUAGGAUGCGGGUACUAUGUGCAAAAGUAUAUAUACGAAAUAGUGCAUAAUCCUACUACUCCCAUUACUAGCCUCUUCAAUACAAAAGAUGCAUAUAUGCAAGGAGAGAUCAACGUAAUUCGGACCCAAUGGGCAAGUUUUGUUGGCCUAUUUGUGUAAGGAUGUAAUUCUUGUUUUUUUGUCUCAAUAGAAUGUAAAUGCUAGCUUAGAAUGAAUUUGUGGAUAAAUUCAUA